GACGUAGGGCGCGAGCGUUGUCCGGAUUUAUUGGGCGUAAAGAGCUCGUAGGCGGCUUGUCGCGUCGUCCGUGAAAACCUGGGGCUCAACCCCAGGCUUGCGGUCGAUACGGGCAGGCUCGAGUUCGGUAGGGGAGACUGGAAUUCCUGGUGUAGCGGUGAAAUGCGCAGAUAUCAGGAGGAACACCCGUAGCGAAGGCGGCACUCUGGGCCGAUACUGACACUGAGGAGCGAAAGCGUGGGGAGCGAACAGG
rnacentral:rRNA from 1 species